UAGUCGUAACACCCUAAAAAUUGUAAACUAGGAAAAAAAAUGAUGAUCAAAUAAGGAAGGAAAGAAAGAAGAGAUCAAUUGAAAAAAAGCUCAUUCAACUCUUAAAACCUUGAAAAGUACUAGAAAGAAAGAAAGGAAAAUAAAAAUAUGAGAAAAAUAAAUAGAGAAAAGGAUGGGAGUAGUAAUUAAGAAAUUCUCUCCAUCACGCGAGCUCGUCGCUGUUAUUGCCUCUCCGGCACGACGUACCUAAGCCGCUGGCCUCCUCCAUCUUCCUUCUCUUCCAAUCUCCAUGGAAGUGGGAUUUAAAGCAGAAAGUUCAACACGCUCAAUCCCAAAGCUUGUGAAAUUAAGUACUUUAUAUCAUCCUGCCGGACUGUACUGGUUACUGUGGAAGUUAAAGAAUGGAGAAACAAGAAGAAAGACUUGGCAUGAAGAGUAAAGUGAAGAGUGAAGAAGCAUGCUCAUUCAAGGGAUAAAAUGGACGUGGAGUUUGGUUGCUGUGAAGCAUGCGAGUGCUGACUCACCAUCUAGUCAGCACCGGGUUGGUUAGGAAGUUUGUUAGAAGUUAGUUACUCCACCAAAAUAUCUUGUGUUAGUAUAAAUAGCUGGCUUGAGAGCUUUGUAUUUUGAUUGAAGUUUCAUGAAUAAAAUAUCUCUUUCUCUCAA